rnacentral:tRNA from 1 species
GCCCUGAUAGCUUAACAUAAAAGCAUUGGUCUUGUAAACCAAAGACUGUAAACUAAUACUUACUCAAGGC